CCAAUGAGGAGUUGAAUGGCCGCAKUWUAUUGACUGUGCAAAGGUAGCAUAAUCAUUAGUUUUUUAAUUGAAAACUGGUAUGAAGGGUUGGACGAGAAAAUAGCUGUCUCUUUAUAAAUUUUUUAUAAUUUUAUUUUUAAGUUAAAAAGCUUAAAUAUACUUAAAAGACGAGAAGACCCUAUAGAGUUUUAUAUAAUUAUUUUAUAAAUAAUAUUUUUAGGAUAUGAUAUAUUUUUUAAAAUAUUAUAUUUAAUUGGGGUGAUUAAAAAAUUUAAUGAACUUUUUUUUUAUAAAAACAUUAAUUUAUGAAUUAUUGAUCCAUUAAAAUAAUGAUUAUAAGAUUAAAUUACCUUAGGGAUAACAGCGUAAUUUCUUUGAAGAGUUCUAAUCGAUAAAGGAGUUUGCGACCUCGA
rnacentral:rRNA from 1 species